UUGCGCCUGGAAGUUUGCAAAGAACAGGGGGAAGCUACGGCUUUAAUUACUGUUGUAAAUAAUGUAUAAAUCACGCCUGUCACUCCGGAGGAAGCGGGCUCGCGCGAGCAGCCCGGGGCUGGGGAUCCGGGGAUGGAGGAUCUCCGGCCCGGGCUUGGGCACCGGCCCCGCGCGCCCCCUCCUCCUGGCUCUCGGCUCCUGGCGGCGAUGGGGGGGGGGCUGGGGAGCGGCGAGUGGGGGCCCGGGAGCCGCUCCCUUCCUCUCGGUGUUACCGUUGGAGGUAGGAAUAUGGCUGAUCAUGUGCUGGCUGUUUUACAGUAUUCCCCCCCCCUUUAGCCACACCCCCUGUCCGGGCGCUUUCCCAUUCACGGAAUUCGAGUACAGUAAAAGCCAUCAGGAUGACACACACGAAAAACAUUUAAUUAAAGGCGAUUUCCGAGGAGUGAACACGCCGAACCGCGGUUUCAGCGGGAGGGGGUGCAGUAAGGGCCGGGAAGGGAGGAAGGGGGAUCAAGGCUGGGGGCCGGGUCCUGCCGCCAGCUCGGUGAGUUUGUGUGUGGAGAGCUUUUGGCUGCAAAGAGUAUAUUUAGACCCUGAGACGGUGGAUUUGGAAUGCGAGCGGGUUAUGUAACAGGGUUAAUCAGAAACACUGGAGAAAAUCCCCUUCAUGUGUUUUCUGAGUUUUUUUUUAAAGGGGGGGGUAACAUAGUAUAUAGGAAGCCACAUUAAUUUCUAGUUUGUGCUGUCACCCCCCUCUCUCUUAACCUCCCCCUUCCUGUGUGUUAUUAGCAUCUUCAGGUGUCAUUCUUGCCAGGAGGUGUUCUUGCAAGAGAUCAGGGUGGCAGGCUGCAGAACCGACUAACAAAUCCGUAACUUGCUGUUCUUGCAAAUUAUAUAACGCUGGGGCAUUCAGUACCACUAGCCCCCUAGGCUUAGCAAAAACGGGAGAGGGACAAAGUAGAGGUGGGAUGCAUCUUGCCCAGCUGACCUGUUGACCUUUGUCCCCUUGCCCCCUACAGAGUCACCCUCCACUCACUCUUCUUUGAACCAACCCGUGCCCAUCUCUCCAGAGAUUUACUAGGGGGAGGGAGAAGAGGUGACUUUACAAUCUCCAGACACAGACAUUUCUCUCAGAAGUGGAGUGAAGGAAGGAGAACCACAAGCUAAAGGCAAUGAAAAGAGGAAAAGUUGACACUUUGAGAAGUUAUGAUGAACUUGUCGAGAAUGCCAAUUGACAAAGGCAGGUAAGGGAAUACUUGGAAAAACAGAACAAGAACAGGUCUGAAGGGCAUGAUGAUCUGCUUCCUAGCGUGUUAAGGGAAUUGGCGGGCAUGUUUAUUGACUCUUCCAAUUAGUUUUAAAGAAACCUGAAGAAACGGACAAAGACGGAGGAAAGACAACCAGAUGUGAUUCUGCUCUUCCAGAAGCAGAGAGGCUUUUCUCAUCCCAUAUGAUCGAUGCCAGUCCUGGGGAAGACUCACUGUAUAGCAGUUAAUGGAUUUUCAACAUACCAAUCACAGAAGAAACAAGGGUAUAUUUAGCAAGUCUAAAAACUCUUCAAUAAACUGCAUUGCUUUUCAUUUUCACUGUACAGUCAUAAAGCCAGGGGAUGGUAAGAAGGCCAUGGUAAUGAUACAGCGUGUACUCCCAAGAACAUUUGUAUGAUGGGGAUAUUACGUCUGAAAGGACAGGGCAUCUGGGAGGAUGAACUGCCCAUAACUCUCAAUUGUCCAGGUAAUGAAGCAUUGGAAAGCAAACGCAAAUUAAAUACUUUGAUAAUCAAAAAUGAUUCUUCUUUUAGUGAUCAUAUUAGUUGACUGAUGGUGACAGGUAUGAAAUUGCGAGUUGCGUGUAGCCAUUUCUGGCACUCGUGGUCUAUUUCUGAUGAGCAUGUUGAUGUGGAACAUGGGAACCCAGACGGUUUCUAUAAACCGGGCUGUGAACCCAGAAGAUGUAAAAUUUUACAGCGUGAAGGACAAAGGUUGAAGAUUAGUGAGGCCCUAAAAUUUCUUGAGGCCUUACAGAUAAUCAGUUGGAGAACUGACGCUACACUGAGAGGCUCUAGCAAGUCCUAAAGCUCGUUUUUCUCACCUCGAGCUUGAGGGUGCUAGGUGUGUGCUAGGUGUGUGGUGCUCACUCACCAUGCUGGUGCUGGUGCUGUUUUAUUAGCCCAAGGCCUGUUGGACGCAGAAGCGGCCUUCUAAAUCAUCUAGCCUGGCCCUUGUCCUUUAAACUGAUGCUCACAGAGAUCUAAUAAUGUGUCUGAGUUCCCAUUCCUAGUAAGUGGCAAGACUGUGACAAGAGUAUGGGUCAUCUACUUUGUAGAAGUGUUCCAGUGUUCCUUGCCUUUGUGUGCUGUGCCGAGAUACUCGGAAAUUCCAGCAGGUACAGAAUCAAUUUCCUGAACCCCUUUCCCCGUCCUGCCAGGUAACCCCCCUGAGGAUAUUAUGAUGCAUACACAAGUUAAUCCAGCAUGAGGUAGUUGACAUCUCUGAAACUCAAUGCAUGUGACGUUGGUUGUGCGUCAGUAAUGGAGCAUUAUCAGUAAUUGUUAUGUUUUCAUAUCCCACUUUGAAUAUUAUAUAAAAAUUAGCUCACGAACUGGUGGCCAUGUCAGUAAAAGCAUUCUGAAGCAUAGUAAAAAUAGUGCCUGUAUCUUAUGCACUGCUGAUUCCGUAGAAAGUAAAAUAGAGGCUCUGGAAGGGAGCGUCUUGUCAUCGGUGCCAGCCUGAGCAGUUAUGCUCGCUAGAGCUGGAUGCAGCCAGAGGGUGGAAUGGAGAGGCUGGCUCUCAGCAACUGCCCUUUUUCCUCAAGGCAGAGGAAAGGCUGUGUCUUUUAUAAGAGAUGCUCAAGAGGAAGUCCACCCAUGGAAUACUAUGUAGCUAGUAAAAAUCCUAUUCCAGUAGAAAAGUAUCUCUUGAUAGGGGAAAAUGUUUGUCAUCUAUUAGUGAAAAGUAAUAACCUUCAUAGCAGUGUGCCCAGAAUGACAUCAUUUUUGUAAAAAACUAUAGUGUGUGUAUUAAUAUGGACCAACGUACACCUUAAUAAUGAAAUGAUAAAAUGGUUAUUUUUAGUGUGAGUUUCUCUUUUUUUUGUGCCCUUCUGUAUUUUUUA